rnacentral:rRNA from 1 species
ACGGAAGGCAGCAGUGGGGAAUAUUGCACAAUGGGCGAAAGCCUGAUGCAGCGACGCCGCGUGAGUGAAGAAGUAUCUCGGUAUGUAAAGCUCUAUCAGCAGGGAAGAAAAUGACGGUACCUGACUAAGAAGCCCCGGCUAACUACGUGCCAGCAGCCGCGGUAAUACGUAGGGGGCAAGCGUUAUCCGGAUUUACUGGGUGUAAAGGGAGCGUAGACGGUUUGGCAAGUCUGAAGUGAAAUGCGGGGGCUCAACUCCUGAACUGCUUUGGAAACUGUCGAACUAGAGUGCAGGAGAGGUAAGUGGAAUUCCUAGUGUAGCGGUGAAAUGCGUAGAUAUUAGGAGGAACACCAGUGGCGAAGGCGGCUUACUAGACUGUAACUGACGUUGAGGCUCGAAAGCGUGGGGAGCAAACAGGAUUAGAUACCCUGGUA